GGACGAUGAAGAUGGAGCUGCCAAGCAGGAGAAAAGGAGGAAGAUCUCAGAUGAGUUCAUGGAUGAAGGAGGACAUGCAGAGGGUUGGCGUGACAGAGGAGGAUGCUGGGAUAGGAGGAGAUGGAGGAGAUAAUCAGCUGUGGUGGCCUCUAAAGGGAGCAGCAGCUGCUGCUGGUAGCUUCAUGCUUUCCCCUGCAGACUUGACAGCUGUCGGUAUCUUGUCAUCUGACUCAAUGCAGACAGCAGUCCCUGUGAGGCCCGGCUCAGUGACACCCACGCCUGGCUGCAUUUGUCCAGGUAUGACCCAAGAUUUACGCCUUUGUUUGAACCACCAGUGCUUUUCUAAAAGAUUAUGAUGUGCGUGCUCUCAGCUUGUUUCCAACUCAAGAAAAACAGAAGAGCCACAGGAAGACAUGCACCUGCGACGACCACGAAGAAGAUGUGAUGUCACCGUAGCUGCUGUACUGUCGACUGCUGAGUCCCGCUUUGAAGACUGAAGAUGGCCGUUUCCCCCGUCGACAUCUUGGUUGCACAAAAACUAGAUGAGGCAAGAAAGGUCAAAGGUCAGUCUUCUGAGGAUGCCGACGUUCACAUUUUGGACUGACGUUUGAGAGAGG
ensembl:lncRNA